AAAUUAGUUAAAGUAUAACAUUAGUUUGUCAAACUAA
rnacentral:tRNA from 1 species